GCACGGAGUUAGCCGGGACUUCUUCUGCGGGUACCGUCAUUAUCUUCCCCGCUGAAAGGGGUUUACAACCCUAAGGCCUUCUUCACCCACGCGGCAUGGCUGGAUCAGGCUUGCGCCCAUUGUCCAAUAUUCCCCACUGCUGCCUCCCGUAGGAGUCUGGGCCGUGUCUCAGUCCCAGUGUGGCUGGUCAUCCUCUCAGACCAGCUACGGAUCGUCGCCUUGGUGAGCCAUUACCCCACCAACUAGCUAAUCCGACGCGGGCCGAUCUUUCGGCGAUGAAUCUUUCCCCCGAAGGGCGUAUCCGGUAUUAGCCCAAGUUUCCCUGGGUUAUUCCGAACCGAAAGGCACGUUCCCACGCGUUACUCACCCGUCUGCCACUGUCCACCACCCGAAGGUGGCUUCUCGUUCGACUUGCAUGUGUUAGGCCUGCCGCCAGCGUUCGUU
rnacentral:rRNA from 1 species